GGAUGAACGCUAGCUACAGGCUUAACCCAUGCAAGUCGAGGGGAAACGGCAUUAAGUGCUUGCACUUUUUGGACGUCGACCGGCGCACGGGUGAGUAACGCGUAUCCAACCUUCCCAUGACUAAGGGAUAACCUGCCGAAAGGCAGACUAAUACCUUAUGGUCUUCACUGACGGCAUCAGAUGUGAAGUAAAGAUUUAUCGGUUAUGGAUGGGGAUGCGUCUGAUUAGCUUGUUGGCGGGGUAACGGCCCACCAAGGCAACGAUCAGUAGGGGUUCUGAGAGGAAGGUCCCCCACAUUGGAACUGAGACACGGUCCAAACUCCUACGGGAGGCAGCAGUGAGGAAUAGUGGUCAAUGGGCGAGAGCCUGAACCAGCCAAGUAGCGUGCAGGAUGACGGCCCUAUGGGUUGUAAACUGCUUUUGUAUGGGGAUAAAGUCAAUCACGUGUGAUUGUUUGCAGGUACCAUACGAAUAAGGACCGGCUAAUUCCGUG
rnacentral:rRNA from 1 species